rnacentral:rRNA from 1 species
GGGCAGCGGUCGACGAUUCCUACGGGAGGCAGCAGUGGGGAAUAUUGCGCAAUGGGCGAAAGCCUGACGCAGCAACGCCGCGUGGACGAUGAAGGCCUUCGGGUUGUAAAGUCCUGUCAGGAGGGACGAAGUCUCGCUUGCGAGAUGACGGUACCUCCAGAGGAAGCCCCGGCUAAUUACGUGCCAGCAGCCGCGGUAAUACGUAGGGGGCAAGCGUUGUCCGGAUUUAUUGGGCGUAAAGAGCACGUAGGCGGUUUACCAGGUCAGGUGUGAAAACUUCGGGCUUAACCCGGAGCCUGCACUUGAAACCGGUAGACUAGAGUCUAGGAGAGGAGAGUGGAAUUCCCAGUGUAGCGGUGAAAUGCGCAGAUAUUGGGAAGAACACCGGUGGCGAAGGCGGCUCUCUGGACUGCGACUGACGCUGAGGUGCGAAAGCUAGGGUAGCAAACAGGAUUAGAUACCCUGGUAGUCCUAGCCGUAAACGAUGGGCACUAGGUGUGGGGAGUUAUCGACGCUCUCCGUGCCGUCGCUAACGCAUUAAGUGCCCCGCCUGGGGAGUACGGCCGCAAGGCUAAAACUCAAAGGAAUUGACGG